AAUGGGCGAAAGCCUGAUCCAGCCAUGCCGCGUGAGUGAAGAAGGCCUUAGGGUUGUAAAACUCUUUCAACAGGGAAGAUAAUGACGGUACCUGUAUAAGAAGCUCCGGCUAACUCCGUGCCAGCAGCCGCGGUAAUACGGAGGGGGCAAGCGUUGCUCGGAAUUACUGGGCGUAAAGCGAGCGUAGGCGGUUAGUCAAGUUGGUGGUGAAAGCCCGGAGCUCAACUCCGGAACUGCCAUCAAAACUGACUUACUUGAGAUUGGUAGAGGAAAAUGGAAUUCCUAGUGUAGAGGUGAAAUUCGUAGAUAUUGGGAAGAACAUCGGUGGCGAAGGCGAUUUUCUGGGCCAUAUCUGACGCUGAGGUUCGAAAGCGUGGGUAGCAAACAGGAUU
rnacentral:rRNA from 1 species